AAAUUUCUUAUGUUCUGUGAACACAUGGUGCAACUUGGCCUCUGAGGUUUGCAAUCAUAACAUUCAUAAUUGCAGGAGAUGGCCUGAUAUCCUGUCCAGAUACCGUGAACUGAGUUACAGACCAUGCAAUGCAACUACCAGCAAAAUAAUAACGUAGUGCAGAAAAAAAGAAAGCAAAACAGAAAACCAAAAGAUCUCUAAUUCAAUCAACACAGAAGGCAAAAAAUACAUAAAGUAUUGAAGCUGAUGAUUCGCUGAUCUUCUAAAUAUUGAAAUAGAUUUAAACAGCCUUGAGGGUACAUCUCAGCAAGUGAGCAUUUAGCAAAAUGGAAAGGGAAGAAGAAGAAGGCUCAGAUAAAAUCAUCAUUGUGUGAGAUUUCUCAUUUAAAUGUGGCACCACAUUUGUCAGCAAACAGAUGCACGUCUUCAUUAAAAGCUUCUUUGAGA